GAUGAACGCUGGCGGCGUGCUUAACACAUGCAAGUCGAACGAUGAAGCGCAGCUUGCUGGGUGGAUUAGUGGCGAACGGGUGAGUAACACGUGAGUAACCUGCCCUUAACUCUGGGAUAAGCCUGGGAAACUGGGUCUAAUACCGGACAGGAGCGUCCACGGAACGGUGGGUGUUGGAAAGAUGUAUCGGUUUUGGAUGGCCUCGCGGCCUAUCAGCUUGUUGGUGAGGUAAUGGCUCACAAAUGCGACGCCGAGGCGCCGGCCUGUGAGUGAGACAGGACACACAGGCAUAGGGGCACGGCCCGUACGGCUUCGGGAGGCAGGAGUGAGGAAUAUAGGGCGAUACGCGAAAGCAUUAUGCAGCGACGCCGCGUGGUAGAUGACGGCUACGGGGUGUAAACCUCUUUCUGUAGGGAAGAAGCGAAAGUGACGGUACCUGCAGAAAAAGCACCGGCUAACUACGUG
rnacentral:rRNA from 1 species